GAUGAAGAACGUAGCGAAAUGCGAUAAGUAAUGUGAAUUGCAGAAUCCAGUGAAUCAUCGAAUCUUUGAACGCACAUUGCGCCCGCCAGCAUUCUGGCGGGCAUGCCUGUUCGAGCGUCAUUUCAACCCUCGACCUCCCUUUGGGGAAGUCAGCGUUGGGGACCGGCAGCACACCGCCGGCCCUGAAAUGGAGUGGCGGCCCGUCCGCGGCGACCUCUGCGUAGUAAUCCAACUCGCACCGGAACCCCGACGCGGCCACGCCGUAAAACACCCAACUUCUGAACGUUGACCUCGAAUCAGGUAGGACUACCCGCUGAACUUAAGCAUAUCAAUAAGCGGAGGA
rnacentral:misc_RNA from 1 species